rnacentral:rRNA from 1 species
UACGGGGGGGGCAAGCGUUGUUCGGAAUUACUGGGCGUAAAGGGCUCGUAGGCGGCCAACUAAGUCGGAUGUGAAAUCCCCAAGCUUAACUUGGGAACUGCAUCCGAUACUGGAUGGCUUGAAUCCGGGAGAGGGAUGCAGAAUUCCAGGUGUAGCGGUGAAAUGCGUAGAUAUCUGGAGGAAUACCGGUGGCGAAGGCGGCAUCCUGGACCGACAUUGACGCUGAGGAGCGAAAGCUAGGGGAGCAAACGGG